rnacentral:tRNA from 1 species
GGGGAUGUGGCGCAGAUGGAUAGCGCGCGACUUUGCGAAGGUUGAGGCCGCAGGUUCAAGUCCUGCCAUUCCCA